AUGAUGGACGCGCCGCCGACGCCCACCACGCCCCCGGCGUCGCCGCGGCCCCAGACGCAGCCGCAGGCCCAGGCCCCCGCGGCCGCGGCCGUGCCGUCCAGGCGCUACGGCGUGCAUUUCUCCGCCUCCAGCUUCAUCCAGGCGCCGCUCUCCGCGCUGCUCGAGUACUCGGGCGUCCUCCGCGCCGACCCCGGCCCGCACCUCCCGCCCGCCGGGGGCGGCGAGGUGUCGAUCCGGAUCGUGGGGUCGGCGCCGACCGACGGGGCCGACGACGUGCAGGAGGAGGGUGCGGAGGGAGACGCCGCGAGGGGGGCGCACCCCUCCGCGCCCGCGCCGGCGGCCGCGGCCGGCGCCGACACCUCCUCCUCCUACCAGAGGUACGACAUACAGCAGGUGGCCAGGUGGGUGGAGCAGAUACUGCCCUUCACCCUGCUGCUGCUCGUCGUCUUCAUCAGACAGCACCUGCAAGGUUUCUUUGUCACCAUCUGGAUUGCUGCCGUGAUGUUCAAGUCCAAUGACAUCCUGCGCAAGCAGACUGCUCUCAAGGGGGAGAGAAAAAUGUUAAUUCUUGUGGGAAUUACAAUAUUAUUUGUCGUUCAUGUAUCUGGAGUGUACUGGUGUUACAAGAAUGGUGAUCUUAUCAGACCUCUGGUCAUGCUUCCUCCAAAAGAGAUACCACCAUUUUGGCAUGCAAUAUUCGUAAUCCUGGUGAAUGAUACAAUGGUGCGCCAAACUGCUAUGAUCAUGAAGUGCUUACUGCUAAUGUACUACAGGAACACCAAGGGCCGUAGCUAUCGUAGGCAGGGGCAAAUGUUAACACUCGUGGAAUACUUUCUACUUCUGUACCGUGCCUUAUUGCCUGCCCCUGUAUGGUACCGUUUUUUCCUGAACAAGGAGUAUGGGAGCCUAUUUUCCUCUCUAACCACUGGACUGUAUCUUACUUUCAAGCUGACAUCUGUCGUGGAAAAGAUUCAAUCAUUUUUUACAUCUCUGAGAGCGUUGUCCCAUGAAGACUUCCAUUAUGGUUCAUAUGCAACGAGUGAGCAGGUUGCUGCCGCUGGAGAUAUGUGUGCUAUAUGCCAAGAGAAGAUGCAUGUCCCCAUUCUUUUGCGCUGUAAACAUGUCUUCUGCGAAGAUUGUGUCUCUGAAUGGUUUGAGAGGGAGCGCACCUGCCCACUGUGCAGGGCACUGGUGAAGCCAGCAGACCUCCGGUCAUUCGGCGACGGUUCGACAAGCCUCUUUUUCCAGCUUUUCUAG
rnacentral:rRNA from 1 species